rnacentral:rRNA from 1 species
AUUGAACGCUGGCGGCAUGCUUUACACAUGCAAGUCGAACGGUAACAGGCCGCAAGGUGCUGACGAGUGGCGAACGGGGGUGUAAUGCUCCGGAACGUGCCCACUCGUGGGGGAUAACUACUCGAUAGAGGAGCUAAUACCGCAUACGAUCUAUGUAUGAAAUCUGCGGACCGUAAUGCCCAGCUCAAUUUGAGCGGCCGAUGUCAGAUUAGGCAGUUGGUGGGGUGAAGGCUCACCAAGCCAACGAUCUGUAGCUGGUCUGAGAGGAGGACCAGCCACACUGGAACUGGGACACGGCCCAGACUCCUACGGGAGGCAGCAGUGGGGAAUUUUGGACAAUGGGCGCAAGCCUGAUCCAGCAAUGCCGCGUGCAGGAAGAAGGCCUUCGGGUUGUAAACUGCUUUUGUACGGAACGAAACGACGCUGAUUAAUACCCGGGGCUAAUGACGGUACCGUAAGAAAAAGCACCGGCUAACUACGUG